rnacentral:rRNA from 1 species
UACGUAGGGUGCAGGCGUUAAUCGGAAUCACUGGGCAUAAAGCGCACGUAGGCGGCCAAGUCAGUCAGGUGUGAAAUACCUCGGCUCAACCGAGGAACUGCGCCUGAUACUGCUUGGCUUGAGGUCCGGAGGGGAGAGUGGAAUUCCCGGUGGAGCGGUGAAAUGCGUAGAGAUCGGGAAGAACGCCGGCGGCGAAAGCGACUCUCUGGUCGGAAUCUGACGCUGAGGUGCGAAAGCUAGGGGAGCAAACGGG